rnacentral:tRNA from 1 species
CCGGACGCGACCAAGUGGAUCAAGGCAGUGGAUUGUGAAU